rnacentral:rRNA from 1 species
AUUGAACGCUGGCGGCAGGCCUAACACAUGCAAGUCGAACGAGUGGCGGACGGGUGAGUAAUGGCUGGGAAACUGCCCGAUGGAGGGGGAUAACUACUGGAAACGGUAGCUAAUACCGCAUACCAUCGGAUGUGCCCAGGUGGGAUUAGCUAGUAGGUGGGGUAACGGCUCACCUAGGCGACGAUCCCUACCUGGUCUGAGAGGAUGACCAGCCACACUGGAACUGAGACACGGUCCAGACUCCUACGGGAGGCAGCAGUGGGGAAUAUUGCACAAUGGGCGAAAGACUGAUGCAGCAAUGCCGCGUGUAUGAAGAAGGCCUUCGGGUUGUAAAGCACUUUCAGCGAGGAGGCGGUACCCGCAGAAGAAGCACCGGCUAACUCCGUGCCAGCAGCCGCGGUAAUUC